AACGAACGCUGGCGGCAGGCUUAACACAUGCAAGUCGAGCGGGGUGAGGUGCUUCGGUACUGAUCCUAGCGGCGGACGGGUGAGUAAUGCUUAGGAAUCUGCCAUUUAGUGGGGGACAACAUUCCGAAAGGAAUGCUAAUACCGCAUACGUCCUACGGGAGAAAGCAGGGGAUCUUAGGACCUUGCGCUAAAUGAUGAGCCUAAGUCGGAUUAGCUAGUUGGUGGGGUAAAGGCCUACCAAGGCGACGAUCUGUAGCGGGUCUGAGAGGAUGAUCCGCCACACUGGGACUGAGACACGGCCUAGACUCCUACGGGAGGCAGCAGUGGGGAAUAUUGGACAAUGGGCGGAAGCCUGAUCCAGCCAUGCCGCGUGUGUGAAGAAGGCCUUUUGGUUGUAAAGCACUUUAAGCGAGGAGGAGGCUACCUAGAUUAAUACUCUGGGAUAGUGGACGUUACUCGCAGAAUAAGCACCGGCUAACUCUGUGCCAGCAGCCGCAGUAAGAC
rnacentral:rRNA from 1 species